UAGAUAUUGAGCUUCCUGUUGAAUCAAUGGCAGUUUCAUAGAGUAGAUGAUAUAACGAUCUAUCAUAGAGUAGAUGAUAACUCUAUGAAAUGGUGUAGUGCGUUGAGUCUUACUGCACUCCAUUUCUCUGUGGUGCUUGAUAAAGGUAAAAGGCUUACCGUUUAAGUUCAAGUUGCUACGAGCACCUUUAUACUGCGGGCAUUGAUGAAGAUGGGCGUCGGAGUCAGUGCCGUUUCAACGCCACCUUCGUCUUGGAGACCGAAGCGAUCAGUCGCCCCCACAAUCGCCACCAGCUUCCCAUUUACUUCGCCUGAGCAAAGAUGGUCGCUUUUCUGAAGCCAUUAAGGUCCUCAACUCGGUGGUCGACCACCGCCGGCUCGGCACCCGAGGCUUCGAGAUGUUGUUUACGCUUCUCUCAUGUAGGCAUGCGCUAGGACCAACUUCACUCGAACUGAAGCCUCCGUUCACUCCCUCUGUGUCAAGUCCAGCCUUGACAUUGAUCGUUUCAUCAGCAACAGCCUCCUCUCUUUGUACUUCAAUCAAGCCCGGUGAUGCCGCGGAAGCCCAAACGCCUGUUCGACCACUUAAAAUCAAGGAAGUAGUUUCAUGGACGUCGACAAUCUCGAGUUAUUCCAAGAUAGGUGGACAUCGGGAUGCUCUGAUGUUGUUUUGACUCGAUGCAGCAGAGCUGUAUCCUGCCUAACGAAUUUAUUCUGUCAAUCAUGAUCAAGGUUGUGCGUAAAUGAAUGGUGUUAGAUUGGGUAGGUUCUUCCACCGAUUCGUAAUCGAUCGAGGCUUCGAUGACAAUCGCGUUUAGCGCGCUUAUUGGUAGCGGGUGUGUAGAUGAUGCGCAGAAAGUGUUUAAUGAAAAGCCUCACAGAGAUGUGGUUUCUUGGACAACUAUGAUAGCUGCCUUUGUGCACAAGGAGAAGUACAAAGAAGUGUUGAAGUGGUUUUUGCUUGUGCAGAAAGAUGGUGGGGAUUCAAUGUAUGAUGGGUUUGCUUGCACUUUCGACUUGCGGGAAUUUGGGGUUAGUAGAGCCCGGAAAUGUGGGGACAUUUCGAUUGAACACGACGUGCUCGACAGAUUGCCGCAAAGGAACAUGGUGACUUGGUGCUGCAUGCUUUCGGCACAUUGUUAAAAUGGUCAAGGUGAAUCAGGGUUGGAGUUGUUUGGGGAGAUGCAGAGAGUUGGGAUGGGAAAGGACGUUAUAGAUAUGGGACCAUCCUUAGGCCAUGUGCAGCAGCUUAGGACUUGAAGCAGGGCAAAGAGAUCCAUGGCUUGUUCUUAUUGACAUGUAUUCUGAAUGUGUAAGUGUACUAGAUGCACACUAUGAUAGUUUGGAGCAUGAUGAUCGAUGGUCUAGCACAGAACGGCCGAAGUGUGGAUGCCCUAGAAAUAUACGAUCAGAUGGUUGAGGAAGGAAUGCUGCCAGAUUGUAUUAAGUUUGUUGGUGUGCUGUUCGCAUGUAGCCAUUCUGCUUUAAUUGAACAAGGAAGAAAUCAUUUCAAGUCCAUGGUUGAAAUAUACGGGAUAAGUCGAGGAAUUGGCAUAAUGCUUGCAUGGUGGAUCUUCUUGGCCGAGCAGGAGUAUUGGAAGAAGCCAAACAUACAUUUGAUAAAAAACUCAAAAUUGACAAAUGAUUUCUUGUUAUGGGCAGCUCUCCUUGGCUCAUGUGCUGCUCAUUCCAACUUAAGUUUAGCAGAACGAGUUGCAUCAAGGAUGAUCAGACUGAAGCCAGCGAACCAUCUGACCUACAUUCUUCUAGUACUCUGCAGUAGGCCGGUGGCAUGACGCCGGAAGAAUUGAGGAGUUUGAUGAAAGAGAGGGAUCAGAAAAAACUUUAGGAAAGAGUUAGAUUGAAGAUAAGAAGAGCUCGACUUCCAGUCGAACUUAUGAUUCGAGUAGUGAGAGGAUGAUAGAUCUUGAAGCAGGUGUCCUCAAGAACGCUGCCGUAUAUGCAAAAACCGAGGGCAUUCAUGAACUUUGCAUUUUAAAAUCGAAAAUCAGAGACGGACUCGGAUGGAGGGCAUGUUUGCUAAACAGAAUUGGGUGUCACAGGUUAAUUUGGUUGCAGUAGAAAGUGCUAGGAUCUAGGGGACUUGUUUGGACCUUGUUAGAAACAUAUUUUUGAGGCUCAAAACAAGUAUAGUUUUUGAUGCUCAAACCAAAUUUUUUAAACUUGGUUUUGGUGCCAUCCAGACUGACUACUGCCCAAAUUUUUGAACUGGUUUUUUUAUGCCAAAAUCCAAGCUUUAACAUGGUUUUGAUCUCAUCCAGACUGGUUGCUGCCCACCGAAUGGCGCUUCUGACAUUGUUUCCGUAAAGCAGCCACACGCAGUAAGCUGAUGGCAGUAACAAGCUCCUGUUUACGGUGCCGAAGUAGGGCUUUUAAACGAAUGGAAGUGUUCAAGCUUUCGCUAUCCAGGGAUGAACUGCAUGGUCUAUUUAUGUCUCACUAAAGGCUGCAAUGCCUCUUCUAUCUCUCCCUCACAUGGUCGCCAGCAAAAUGAUGAAAAAGAUAGAUUCUGUGUUGAGAAGAAGUGUGACUUGAAAGAUGACAAAGAGGGUGGUCGUGUGAUCGCUAGGCAUUUCGGAUGAAACCCAAACCAUUCUUCUUCUGUUUCAUCUUCUCAAGCAGAAAACAAAGUCAAAGGGCCUUCAGAAAGAAUGGACCCAACAUUCUUUACGAGACAUCGCCGGAAGUGGUGGUGGUGUUACUUGAAUCCUUGCCCGCCCUUUCAGUAGUUUGUAGUUCUUUACUUGUGGGACUGGAAAUUAUUUAUUAUUUUAUCUUUUCAAUCUUCUCUAAAACUAUAUUAUUUUUAGAA